AAUAGAUACCCGGGUAGUCCACGCCGUAAACGAUGGAUGCUAGCUGUUAUGAGUAUCGACCCUUGUAGUAGCGAAGCUAACGCGUUAAGCAUCCCGCCUGUGGAGUACGAGCGCAAGCUUAAAACAUAAAGGAAUUGACGGGGACCCGCACAAGCGGUGGAGCGUGUUGUUUAAUUCGAUGAUAAGCGAAGAACCUUACCAAGGCUUGACAUCCCUGGAAUUUCUCCGAAAGGAGAGAGUGCCUUCGGGAAUCAGGUGACAGGUGAUGCAUGGCCGUCGUCAGCUCGUGUCGUGAGAUGCUUGGUUAAGUCCAUCAACGAGCGCAACCCUUGUAAAUAGUUGAAUUUUUCUAUUUAGACUGCCUCGGUAACGGGGAGGAAGGAGGGGAUGAUGUCAGGUCAGUAUUUCCCUUACGCCUUGGGCUACAAACACGCUACAAUGGCCGGUACAAAGGGCAGCAACCCGCGAGGGGGAGCAAAUCCCAUCAAAACCGGUCUCAGUUCGGAUAGCAGGCUGAAAUUCGCCUGCUUGAAGCCGG
rnacentral:rRNA from 1 species